AACGAACGCUGGCGGCGUGGAUAAGACAUGCAAGUCGAACGGGAUAGUUUUGUAGCAAUACCGAACUGUUCAGUGGCGAACGGGUGCGUAACACGUGGAUACAUGCCGGAAAGAGGGGAAUAGCCCAGGGAAACUUGGAUUAAUACCCCAUGUGAUCGCAAGACUAAAGGCGGGGCAACCUGCCGCUUUCCGAUUGGUCCGCGGCCUAUCAGCUAGUUGGCGGGGUAAAGGCCCACCAAGGCGACGACGGGUAGCUGGUCUGAGAGGAUGACCAGCCACACUGGAACUGAGACACGGUCCAGACACCUACGGGUGGCAGCAGUCGAGAAUCAUUCACAUGGGGGCAACCCUGAUGGUGCGACGCCGCGUGGAGGAUAAGGUCUUCGGAUUGUAAACUCCUGUCAUGCGAGAGCAAGGUCUGUGCAGGUAACUCUGCUGGAUUUGAUAGUAUCGCAAGAGGAAGAGACGGCUAACUCUGUGCCAGCCGCCGCGGUAAUAC
rnacentral:rRNA from 1 species